GCAUUUGUUACAAUUUGUCAACCUCUGCCCACAUCUACAGGCCACACCAGGGUCACUUUGUGUAUUCUGUGGAAGUAGACAAGUGGACAGUGACGUAUGUCCAACAGUGUGUGGCCUGGCACAGUGCAGGUCCCACCCUCACACUGUCUGAGCUCCAGCUGCUCCUCACCCUCCUCUCUGCUGCAGACCUUCAUGAUUUUCCAUACUGUAGUUUCACCUGUGCUGACUGACAACUGCCUGGCACUUACAGCAUGGACAAUGUUCAGACUGGUCUCACCUGAGUGCUGUGCACAUAAGCUUCCUCCAGAGGUUUCCUUGACGUGAUACCUCUUCUCUUUCUUUUUUCUUUUUAAAGUUUUAUUUAAACAGGGGAUUAAAUCCAGGCAGUCUCUCCCACUUGGCUACACUCACAGUCCUAUUUUGUUUUUCAUCUGUUGAGACUAGACUUCUCACUGUUGGUCAGGGCUUUGUUAAGCAGCUGGAACUGGCCUUGCACUUGGGCUCCUCCUGCCUCUGCUUCCCCAUUGCUGGGGUGACAGUCUGGAGUCAGUGCCCCAGCCUGACAGCUGAAAUUCCUCUUCAGUGCUUUUCUGGCUCUUCCAAAGAAUUGACCAUCCCCUGGAGAAGGGCAUGCUUGUGCACUCAGGUUUUCCAUGCUGAAGAGAGUUCCUAUUUAUUUUUAUGUUCAGGAUGUGAGAUAUUUAUGUAUUUGGCUGCGUUUUCUCACCCUCUUUAGUAAACACAGGAGCAUGAUGUCUGCAUGAUUGGUAGCAGAAUGUCUAAGGUUAUCAGAGUCUGUCUAAUAACAGAUGGAAGGGGUUGUGGGAGCAGGGGACACAGAAAAACUCUGUACUUCACCACAAUCUUCUGGGUGCCUAAACCACAGUUUUAAAAAAAAGUGUCUUAAACUAUUCCUGUGUAGAACACAUGAAGAGGCCUAUCUUUGCUGCACAACCCCAAAUACUGCUUACUUCAGUCUCCUCAGUGUUAUCAGAACACUGUCCUCCACAUCUUGUCUUCAUCUUGGGGGCAGCUUCUUGAAACACCC
rnacentral:lncRNA from 1 species